rnacentral:rRNA from 1 species
UACGGGGGGGGCAAGCGUUGUCCGGAAUCAUUGGGCGUAAAGAGCGUGUAGGCGGCCCGAUAAGUCCGCCGUGAAAGCCCGGGGCUCAACCCCGGAACGGCAUCCGAUACUGGCGGGCUUGAGACCGGGAGAGGAGGGUGGAAUACCCAGUGUAGAGGUGAAAUUCGUAGAUAUUGGGUGGAACACCGGUGGCGAAAGCGGCUCUCUGGCCCGGAUCUGACGCUGAGGCGCGAAAGCGUGGGGAGCAAACAGG